GACGUAGGGGGCCAGCGUUGUUCGGAAUUACUGGGCGUAAAGCGCGUGUAGGCGGCAGGGCAUGUCGGAUGUGAAAUCCCGUGGCUCAACCACGGAAGUGCACCCGAAACUGCCCAGCUUGAGUCUCGGAGAGGAAGGCGGAAUGCUUGGUGUAGAGGUGAAAUUCGUAGAUAUCAAGCGGAACACCGGUGGCGAAGGCGGCCUUCUGGACGAUGACUGACGCUGAGACGCGAAAGCGUGGGGAGCAAACAGG
rnacentral:rRNA from 1 species